CCUUGUGGAGGAGGACGCCGAAGGUGGGGCUAAUGACUGGGGUGAAGUCGUAACAAGGUAGCCGUACCGGAAGGUGCGGCUGGAUCACCUCCUAACAGGGAGACAACAAAAUGUUAAAUAUUAAUUUUGUCACCUUAGGUCGAUCGGUAUCUCACAUUCUUAAUCUUUUAAGAAUUUUAUUUCCUAAGUUUUUUCUAGGUCACACCCAUUAUUUUCCUGGGCCAUUAGCUCAGGUGGUUAGAGCGCACCCCUGAUAAGGGUGAGGUCCCUGGUUCAAGUCCAGGAUGGCCCAUAUCUCUAUGUUGGGGGUAUAGCUCAGUUGGUAGAGCGCCUGCUUUGCAAGCAGGAUGUCAGCGGUUCGAGUCCGCUUACCUCCACUGAUUACCACCUCUUCCAUGAUUUAUUGAAGGGAAAGUUUUCGGUGUGAUCAAAUUCUGAACGAAUCUAGCUUCCUAAUCAAAUUUUUUAAGAUGCUGGACUCAUUGAAUUAAUUUCAUUGUUUUCAGAGAACCUUGACAACUGCAUAGAUUAUUUUAAAGACAAUAAGCAUCUUUAAUGAUGCAGAUUUAUUAUUUGUGCGAAUGCAUUAAUAACAAUUCUAUUGAGCUGAUGCUUCAAAUUUUGAAGUUAUUGGUCAAGCUACAAAGGGCUCACGGAGGAUACCUAGGCACACAGAGGC
rnacentral:misc_RNA from 1 species